AUCACAUUUAUUCCUGCAAAAUGCUUGUUUUCACGAAAUUGCAUUGAACCUUAAGCACUGAGUCUGCGCAUGCGCCAAUCAAUCUAUCGUCAGCGUCGAGAAGGGGCGAUGUACAAGCGAUCUUUGGCAACUUGUGGGAAAUAUCUUAGCUGCUUCAACUGGGACACACGGAUAAAAAUGUCUUGUAUUUGUGUGAAUGGGACCUUGAAAGGACUUCCUACAAGCAUGAAUCAGUGAGGGAGGUAAGUUUGGGAACCCAGCCAGACAUGGGAGGGGGUCCAGCGUGUGGAGGCAUCCCAUUUUUGGGCAUUGAAUCCAUUCGAAAUGAGGAGAAAAUCACAAAAAAAUAUUUUCAUGUAAGGAAAUAUGAGCUACACUGUAUUUGAAAAGCUGUCAUUAUCACAAUAUCAGUGUGUUUCUCACAUUUUCUCUCAUUGGUUAAAAUACUUUAUUAGAUUCACAUUACCGCUUCUACUCAAUGCUUUGGAAAGAUCUAGUGUCUGCUUUUCAUACAAAUGUACCAACUUCAGCAGAGACAGGAUGUGGAGACUGGGACACAGGAAAAAGCGGGGGUGGGGUCACCUGGGCGUUGACGCUCGCUAGUUCAAAGGAGAUGUCCAAUCCUGACGGUCCCGCCCCCAGCACCACCACUGAUUGGCCAGCGAAAGGGUCUGGGUAGCGAUAGGAGUGGCUGUGUAACAGGGUGCCUGUAGGGGGCGACAGAGAGGAGCAGCCUCAGGCCCUGAUCCUAGUGAACAAAUUCAGCCAAACACAGAAAAACUUUUCACAAUCUGCAUACAGCACAUACCCAGCCAGAAUAAUGUGUUGUACUGGGUACACUUACAAGAGAGUGCUCCUCAAAGCUUGACAAAGACCUCCUAAUGACGUAGGUCUAAUGAGCUCAUCUCCUGUUUCAUAUGAAAAGUACACAAGUCUGGCAUCCAUGGAUUUUGUCCACCACAAUUUUGUGAUUUCAAAUUCAGUCGUACGCAUAUUUGUGCAAGUGCCUGUCCUCUGUUAGUCCAGCACGGCAGUAUGUCCGCGGUGUUCCCACCUUUUAAACUUAAUGUUGAGUUGGCGUACACUGUGAUUUUUGUGCGUUUCCCUGUGCCUUAAUCUCCUAUAGUUCAUUGCCAAUCUUGGCUAUGAUACUUCACCUGUACCUUAAUGAGCAUCUUAUUCACCCGUAUCUUUAGUAGUAAUAUUAUUUGAAUUGCAUUGCAAACCCAAAUAUGAAGACUGGUUUUUUGGUUUUAAAAAAGUUGGAUCAAGCUGUCUUUACAGCAUUUAUUAAUAUCGCAAUAAUCAUAAGACAUAAGAACAACGUAUGCGCCUGAUGAAAUUUGGAGAAAAUUUCCUUUAAUUCUCCAGAGGAGGAACAGCCAACCUUAAAGGCAUUCAGAGGAGCACAGAGGAGAAAAGCACACUAAAGCUCACACUCGGGAUGAUCGGUGUUGUCCUUUCUUCAGUGGCUACCCAAGAAAAUGAGCCUGGAGGAUUGCGGCUAUACCCAAGAAAACGAGCCUGGAGGACUGCAGCUAUACCCAAGAAAACAAGCCUGGAGGACUGCAGCUAUACCCAAGACAACAAGCCUGGAGGACUGCAGCUAUACCCAAGAAAACAAGCCUGGAGGACUGCAGCUAUACC